GCCCGGAUGGCGGAAUUGGUAGACGCGCUGGUCUCAAACACCAGUGGGCAACCGUGCCGGUUCGACUCCGGCUCCGGGUA
rnacentral:tRNA from 1 species